GAUGGCGCAUCCUACACUGCAAGUCGUACGCGCAGAACCGAGGUGCUUGCACCUUUCAAGCGAGUGGCGAACGGGUGAGUAACACGUGGAUAACCUGCCUCAAGGCUGGGGAUAACAUUUGGAAACAGAUGCUAAUACCGAAUAAAACUUAGUAUCGCAUGAUAUCAAGUUAAAAGGCGCUACGGCGUCACCUAGAGAUGGAUCCGCGGUGCAUUAGUUAGUUGGUGGGGUAAAGGCUUACCAAGACGAUGAUGCAUAGCCGAGUUGAGAGACUGAUCGGCCACAUUGGGACUGAGACACGGCCCAAACUCCUACGGGAGGCUGCAGUAGGGAAUCUUCCACAAUGGGCGCAAGCCUGAUGGAGCAACGCCGCGUGUGUGAUGAAGGCUUUCGGGUCGUAAAGCACUGUUGUAUGGGAAGAAAUGCUAAAAUAGGGAAUGAUUUUAGUUUGACGGUACCAUACCAGAAAGGGACGGCUAAAUACGUGCCAGCAGCCGCGGUAAUACGUAUGUCCCGAGCGUUAUCCGGAUUUAUUGGGCGUAAAGCGAGCGCAGACGGUUGAUUAAGUCUGAUGUGAAAGCCCGGAGCUCAACUCCGGAAUGGCAUUGGAAACUGGUUAACUUGAGUGUUGUAGAGGUAAGUGGAACUCCAUGUGUAGCGGUGGAAUGCGUAGAUAUAUGGAAGAACACCAGUGGCGAAGGCGGCUUACUGGACAACAACUGACGUUGAGGCUCGAAAGUGUGGGUAGCAAACAGGAUUAGAUACCCUGGUAGUCCACACCGUAAACGAUGAAUACUAGGUGUUAGGAGGUUUCCGCCUCUUAGUGCCGAAGCUAACGCAUUAAGUAUUCCGCCUGGGGAGUACGACCGCAAGGUUGAAACUCAAAGGAAUUGACGGGGACCCGCACAAGCGGUGGAGCAUGUGGUUUAAUUCGAAGCAACGCGAAGAACCUUACCAGGUCUUGACAUCCUUUGAAGCUUUUAGAGAUAGAAGUGUUCUCUUCGGAGACAAAGUGACAGGUGGUGCAUGGUCGUCGUCAGCUCGUGUCGUGAGAUGUUGGGUUAAGUCCCGCAACGAGCGCAACCCUUAUUGUUAGUUGCCAGCAUUCAGUUGGGCACUCUAGCGAGACUGCCGGUGACAAACCGGAGGAAGGCGGGGACGACGUCAGAUCAUCAUGCCCCUUAUGACCUGGGCUACACACGUGCUACAAUGGCGUAUACAACGAGUUGCCAACCUGCGAAGGUGAGCUAAUCUCUUAAAGUACGUCUCAGUUCGGACUGCAGUCUGCAACUCGACUGCACGAAGUCGGAAUCGCUAGUAAUCGCGGAUCAGCACGCCGCGGUGAAUACGUUCCCGGGUCUUGUACACACCGCCCGUCACACCAUGGGAGUUUGUAAUGCCCAAAGCCGCUUGGACUAACCUUCUGCUCGAAGCCGUCUACUGCAGCAGCAA
rnacentral:rRNA from 1 species